rnacentral:rRNA from 1 species
AACGAACGCUGGCGGCAGGUCUUAGGCAUGCAAGUCGAACGGGUGAAACAGGUGCUUGCACUUGUGGAUCUAGUGGCGCACGAGUGAGUAACGCGUGGGAAACUGCCCACUACUGGGGAAUAACGUUUGGAAACGAACGCUAAUACCGCAUACGCCGGAAACGGGAAAGAUUUAUCGGUGGUGGAUGUGCCCGCGUUGGAUUAGCUUGUUGGUGGGGUAACGGCCUACCAAGGCGAUGAUCCAUAGCUAGUCUGAGAGGACGAUCAGCCACGCUGGAACUGAGACACGGGUCCAG